ACGCUCGACACCUACGGGGCAGCAGUCGGGAAUAUUGCGCAAUGGAGGAAACUCUGACGCAGUGACGCCGCGUAUAGGAAGAAGGUUUUCGGAUUGUAAACUAUUGUCGUUAGGGAAGAGAAAGGACAGUACCUAAGGAGGAAGCUCCGGCUAACUACGUGCCAUCAGCCGCGGUAAUCUGAGCGGGCUGGCAAGGC
rnacentral:rRNA from 1 species